UACGUAGGGUGCAAGCGUUGUCCGGAAUUAUUGGGCGUAAAGAGCUCGUAGGCGGUCUGUCGCGUCUGCUGUGAAAACUCAGGGCUUAACCCUGAGCUUGCAGUGGGUACGGGCAGACUAGAGUGCGGUAGGGGAGACUGGAAUUCCUGGUGUAGCGGUGAAAUGCGCAGAUAUCAGGAGGAACACCGGUGGCGAAGGCGAGUCUCUGGGCAGUAACUGACGCUGAGGAGCGAAAGCGUGGGGAGCGAACAGG
rnacentral:rRNA from 1 species